rnacentral:rRNA from 2 species
ACUGAUUGAUGGUGCUUGCACCUGAUUGACGAUGGAUCACCAGUGAGUGGCGGACGGGUGAGUAACACGUAGGUAACCUGCCCCGGAGCGGGGGAUAACAUUUGGAAACAGAUGCUAAUACCGCAUAACAACAAAAGCCACAUGGCUUUUGUUUGAAAGAUGGCUUUGGCUAUCACUCUGGGAUGGACCUGCGGUGCAUUAGCUAGUUGGUAAGGUAACGGCUUACCAAGGCGAUGAUGCAUAGCCGAGUUGAGAGACUGAUCGGCCACAAUGGAACUGAGACACGGUCCAUACUCCUACGGGAGGCAGCAGUAGGGAAUCUUCCACAAUGGGCGCAAGCCUGAUGGAGCAACACCGCGUGAGUGAAGAAGGGUUUCGGCUCGUAAAGCUCUGUUGUUGGAGAAGAACGUGCGUGAGAG